CGCGUUUUUCGCCCAGGCGGAACUCGACCGCCGCCUGAAGUCCUGAGGGCUUUUGUCGAUCGGCAUCGCCACACCUACGGGGUCGAGUCGAUCUGCAAAGUGCUGCAGAUCGCCCCG
rnacentral:ncRNA from 1 species